UCCGCGAUCGUCUAAUGGCUAUGAUGCAGCUCUCUCACUAAUGGACAGCUGAGGUCAGGGUUCGAUUCCCUGUCGCGGAA
rnacentral:tRNA from 1 species